GAGGUGAAAGUUAAAAACAUAGAAUAAGAAAAAAAAUAAAAUUAAAAAAAUUGAAGUUUGCAGGACUAAAGGCUCAUGGGAAAAAGCCAUGAACUGUAGGCGUUGCUUUCCCCGCGGAGCUCCUCUGUGGCCAGACGGUCUGGCCGAUCUCCUGCAGGAGGCGCUGUUGCCGGGAUUCUCACGUGUCUUUGCCGGAGGCGGAACUGCGCCGCCCUUGCCGGGGGCGGGGCUACGUCACCCGCUCGGUUCGCGCUCGGAGCUUCUGUUCCCUGCGCGCUUUCCGUAGAGUCCGGAGGCCGGAACGAAGAUGGCGGCCGCGCAGUUUCCCCCGGAGGAGCCGAGAGCUCAGGCCGCUCCUCAGUGCGGCCUCGGGGAUGCGCCGUCCGUCCCUCCGGUCUCCCCGGUCUCCGGCCGGCUCCGGGCUCCCCCGGCUGUGACCCGGCGCGUCUGUCUCCGGCGCGGCCCGUGUGGCGUCUCCAAGCCCGGCCGACUCCAGCCGCGCUGCUUCUCCCAGAGCAGGAGGUCCUCCGAAGACUGGAUCAUGAUGGUUUGGAGUUGUCAUCAGAUGUCUAACAAGUGGUCAAGCUAGAUUUGAUGUUUCCAUUGAAUGUCAAAGACUCCGCUCUGCUCACAACACUGCCCUGAUUGUAUUUACAAAGAAAAGGAAAUCAAAGUGCGUUUGUCAGGAGGUUCCGACAUGUGCAGAAGGAGGGAAGGCAGAGAUGUCCGCGGGGACGAGUCGCAGCGACGUCACAUGAAAGCAAAACAGGAGAAGGCGUUAAUGCCAGUGAGGCACAGACCCGCACGGCCCGCCCAGAACACGGCGAGCCUGUGUUCCUGGGACCUGGAGAAGCUGCUUUGUCAGAGGCCAAGGGAAGUGCCUUACAGAUCUGUGAUUUCCAACACGAGGGGCACCAUGCUGAUGAAGCCCGUGGUCAGACUCACAUACGGAACGGGCAGUUAGGACAAGGUCAUGGAGGUCAUUUGACACGGGGGAGAGGCACAGAAUUAAGGCAAAACAAGGACCUUUGAUUUGCGUUUGUCGAUGAGAUGAAUAUGCUUUCUCAACAGAUAAGGGAAGUAUUUCCUGUUAGGGUAUCGCAGAGCGUGAUGGCAGUUUUCUGCCCACUUCAGAGGAAAUCCUAAAACCCACUGACAGGAAGUUUGAUAGCAUUUUAGCAAUGGAGGAGUAUAGGGGACUGUUCACUGUUGUGGGAGGUUCCAGCUAAGACGGCGAUAAAUAGCUACAUUCCCCAAGUUGAAU
rnacentral:lncRNA from 1 species